CCUUCUGUAGCUCAAUUGGUAGAGCAUGUGACUGUAGAAUUUGCAGGUAUCACAGGGUCGCU
rnacentral:tRNA from 1 species